CCUACGGGAGGCAGCAGUGGGGAAUAUUGCACAAUGGACGAAACCCUGAUGCAGCGACGCCGCGUGAGUGAAGCAGUAUUUCGGUAUGUAAAGCUCUAUCAGCAGGGAAGAAAAUGACAGUACCUGACCAAGAAUCCCCGGCUCACUACGUGCCAGCACCCGCGGUAAUACGUAGGGGGCAAGCGUUAUCCGGAGUUACUGGGUGUAAAGGGGGCGUAUACGGUUAUGUAAGUCUGGAGUGAAGGCCCGGGGACCAACCCGGGGACUGUUUUGGAAACUGUGUAACUGGAGUACAGGAGGGGCAGGCGGAAUUCGUGGUGUAGCGGUGAAAUGCGUAGAUAUCAGGAGGAACACCGGCGGCGAAGGCGGCUUGCUGGACUGAAACUGACGUUGAGGCUCGAAAGCGUGGGGAGCAAACAGGAUUAGAUACCCCAGUAGUC
rnacentral:rRNA from 1 species